rnacentral:Y_RNA from 1 species
GGCUGGUCCAAAUGUAGUGAGUUAUCUCACUUGAUUGUUCACAGUUACAGGUUGAACUCCUUGUUCUGCUACUUCCCCCCUUCUCAAUACUGCACUGGGCUAGUCAAAA